CGGUUUCCAGACAACAUCCAACCCAGUCACCAGACAGGAAGUUUGGUCAUAAUGAUCAUGACAGUCAUUACCAUUCUCUGCUUUGGAUCGCCCCUCCCCCCCACACCCCCUCCAAGCCCCUCACAGGAACCAGCCUAGCGAUGGGGCUUAUCCAUUAAUUAAAGGCUCCAAAGUGAAGACAACAAAAAUCCCCACACCAGCCACGGGAACAAUUCUUCCCUAAUAGAUGUCAAGUCGGCACCCUGAACACUGCACAGGAGUGCGGAGAUUUAUAGCAGAGAUGUCUAAUUACUCACCCAACGGGAGUCCUUCCACACCUCUGACAGGAAGUUUGUCUUCUGAAAGCAUGUGCCUAUUUUGUUCUCCAACAGCUCUGGUCCCCCGCCAGGACCCUGCAGGAGCUGCCCUGAUGUCAGAGAAGCCAGCGGAGCUUUCUGAUUACUGACAGGAUAUGUGAAAUAUUGGGACUUUGGGAAGGAGCACUGGACAGAGAGUCCAGGCCCAUGGGCCUGAGUAUUGCUCUAACUGAACAGCAGCUGUGGCAGGGGACUGGACCUCUUUGUUUUUCUCUUCUGUUAAACACUGCUGCUAACAUUUCAAGCUUCCAGCGCAUGGUGAUCUGCCUCAGUCAAUAAAUUCUGACCAAAGCCA